rnacentral:rRNA from 1 species
UGGCGAGUAGAGUGGCGAACGGGUGAGUAACGCGUGAUGAACCUGCCUUCAACAGGGGGAUAACACUCCCAACGGGGUGCUAAUACCGCAUGUGACCACGAGAUCGCAUGGUCUCGAGGUAAAAGGUGGCCUCUAUUUAUAAGCUACCGGUUGAAGAUGGCAUCGCGUCCCAUUAGCUAGUUGGCGGUGUAACGGACCACCAAGGCGACGAUGGGUAGCUGGUCUGAGAGGAUGGUCAGCCACACUGGGACUGAGAUACGGCCCAGACUCCUACGGGAGGCAGCAGUCGAGAGGCUUCGGCAAUGGGGGAAACCCUGACCGAGCGACGCCGCGUGAAGGAUGAAGGCCCUUGGGUUGUAAACUUCUUUUGUGGGGGAAGAAAUGCGAUCAGGUGAAUAAUCUGGUCGUUUGACGGUACCUCACGAAUAAGCUCCGGCUAACUCCGUGCCAGCAGCCGCGGUAACACGGGGGGAGCAAGCGUUGUUCGGAAUCACUGGGCGUAAAGGGCGUGUAGGCGGCCCAGUUAGUGGGAUGUGAAAUGCCCCGGCUCACCCGGGGACCUGCAUCCCAAACUGCUGGGCUUGAGUACGGGAGAGGAUGAGGGAAUUCCUGGUGUAGCGGUGAAAUGCGUAGAUAUCAGGAGGAACACCGGUGGCGAAGGCGCUCAUCUGGCCCGAUACUGACGCUGAGGCGCGAAA